GGAAUUCAUAGUGUUCCAGGCACUG
rnacentral:misc_RNA from 1 species